CAUAGGGCAAGAAUUUUGGUAAUCCAACCCCUUUCACAUCAGAAGUUAGGAGCUUUCAUACUAGAACAAUUAAGAAGACUUCAUGGCAUUUUCCGGCGCAUCUCUACGGAUCUGACCUUUCACGGUUCACUGACACCGCUAUUUGCCUGGGUUCCCUAAUCAGGGUUUAGGGUUUAAGGGAUCGAGGAUUGGCCAGAAGACCCAGAAUCUCAAUCACCCCAAAGCGCAACGCAAGUUUUCAACUUGUUCCAAGACAAGUAAAUUUUGUUUAUUUCAUAAGGAUGGUUAGCAAUUGUCCUCGGGAAAUAGAGGAUCAUGGAAUACAGGAUGUUCAAAAGUCGUCGUCCUCUUCAGAGGGGAUAGUUUAGCUUUCCUCUUUUGUGAUUUCUGUACUGAGCUGAAGAAAGCCCAGACAAUAGAGAAACAUGCCACAUAGAACUCGACCGCUGACUGCACUUUUGGUGUUUACUGGACUGAAUGCUAUCCUAGUUUCAACCAUUACUCCUGUCUAUGAUUUCGCCUGCUUUCUUCCUUUUUGGGAAAGACGGGUGUUCUGCUUGUUCCUUCAUAUCAAUAGUAAAACAAAGUUGUGAAAAAGAAGUAAUGAGAGGGACUGCUUUGACUGUCAGAAAGUUCUCGUCUCACCAACUUGGAUCGCAUAUUUCAAAAUUUAAUGAUAUCCAGCCGAAAGGAAGGUUGUAGAAAAUACUGUAAAUGCAAAAAGGUUGAAUUGGUGAAGUCCACUUGGCCGAGCAAUGUUGCUCACAGAAUGUAGUUGCCUUCUUCCAUUUUGUGGGAUUUUUGCUGGUAAGUACCCUUAGUCUUGUAGGUCAAGACAUUGUAUCUGAACCUAAAGGAGCAGUAUUUAUCUGGUUGCGGUAAUCUUAGGUGCACUCAUCUCCGUACCCUCCUUUCUCCUUGCUGUACAUUCUUUGUUAUGGUUUCAUGGAGGAGCUCACUAUUUUGUUGUACUCUUCCAGUAUAUGUAGGUUUCAAUGUCCCUUGGGAAUUUAAUAAGCAAUCAUAGAUACAUAGAACAAACAGGCCCACUUUGACAAAUACAAACUAGGGAUUCAAUUCAUUUACUUUCUCUGAGUUUGUUGACUUGUAGGGAACCUACUGCAAAUAAUUAGAGUUGCACUAUUUCUUUCAUCAAUGCAAAGGUAAGAUUAUGAUUUAUAAGUGGUGGGCUAGCUAGGAUUCUCCUCCUGGAGCAAUGCAACUGUCCUCAGCAAAACUGAGAUAAAUUCGUUGCUGUUUUCAGUUAAACUAAGGCCUACUCUUUUAAGUAUUACAUUGUAAGCAUUAUUAAUACAAGAAACAACAGUUUUUUAAGAACAUAUGUAUUUCAAUCAACUAAAACACAGAUGUUCUGGCAAUUUCUGUUAAGAGCACUUAGUUUAAAGUUUUAAACUGAUGUUGUUUGUUUUGGCUGAUUUUUAACUGCCAGUAUAUCCUAUGCAUACCCACUAUAUACGUAGCACUUUCUCAAACCGAAACCCUCUGUUUAUCAUUGGGUUUACCUGUUGGGCAUCCACACUUAUUGAUUAACUCUGAAGUCAUGCUGUAGCGACCUUCACUAUGCUUUAUGUGAAGUUGCAAACUACAUACUUGUUUAUUAUUGGGUUGGAUUGGAUUGGUUAUGUUAUUCAGUUAUUGCUAAUCCCGCUAAUCGAUGGGAUGCAAUCAGUCCUUUAAGACUCAAAUGUGAUCAGUCCUUUAAUACUCAGAUGCGAUCAAUAAUUUGAUAUAACCGACUAAAACCACUUUAGAUAAUAUUGGAUUGCAUCUAUUAGUUUUUCUUGUAGAUUUUCUUUUGCAUCCUUACAUCUUGUAUCCUUGUGGUUUUCUUC